rnacentral:rRNA from 1 species
CACGUAGGGGCCAAGCGUUUGUCCGGAUUUAUUGGGCGUAAAGAGCUCGUAGGCGGUUCGACAAGUCGGGUGUGAAAACUCCGGGCUCAACCCGGAGACGCCACCCGAUACUGUCGUGACUGGAGUCCGGUAGGGGAGUGGGGAAUUCCUGGUGUAGCGGUGAAAUGCGCAGAUAUCAGGAGGAACACCGGUGGCGAAGGCGCCACUCUGGGCCGGUACUGACGUGAGGAGCGAAAGCGUGGGUAGCAAACAGG